AUCGGAAGGAGUCCUAUUUCAAUUUCGAUUUUCAAAAAAAAUAAAAAUUUUCUCAAUUCUUCAAAAUUUAAUCUCUACUCUUCCAUACACACUUUUUCUCCUAGUAUUCAAAUGCCAUUUUAAUUCCUGUUCCAAUAAUGAAGCAAAUGCGUCAGGAGAUACUGCCGGUUCUAAUUUGAAUUCCAAUCUAUUCUAAUUCCGAGCACGAACCAAACACACCC
rnacentral:lncRNA from 1 species